rnacentral:rRNA from 1 species
UGGCGGCAGGCUUACACAUGCAAGUCGAACGGGCCUUUCGGGGUCAGUGGCGGACGGGUGAGUAACGCGUGGGAACGUGCCCUAAGGUUCGGAACAACUGAGGGAAACUUCAGCUAAUACCGAAUGUGCCCGAGAGGGGAAAGAUUUAUCGCCUUAGGAGCGGCCCGCGUCUGAUUAGCUAGUUGGUGGGGUAAAGGCUUACCAAGGCUACGAUCAGUAGCUGGUCUGAGAGGAUGGCCAGCCACACUGGGACUGAGACACGGCCCAGACUCCUACGGGAGGCAGCAGUGGGGAAUCUUGCGCAAUGGGCGAAGGCCUGACGCAGCCAUGCCGCGUGGAUGAUGAAGGUCUUAGGAUUGUAAAAUCCUUUCAGCGGGGACGAUAAUGACGGUACCCGCAGAAGAAGCCCCGGCUAACUUCGUGCCAGCAGCCGCGGUAAUACGAAGGGGGCUAGCGUUGCUCGGAAUUACUGGGCGUAAAGGGAGCGUAGGCGGAUCGUUAUAGUCGGGGGUGAAAUCCCGGGGCUCAACCUCGGAACUGCCUUCGAUACUGGCGAUCUUGAGUAUGGGAGAGGUGUUGUGGAACUCCGAGUGUAAGGUGAAAUUCGUAGAUAUUCGGAAG